GACGAACGCUGGCGGCGUGCCUAAUACAUGCAAGUUGAGCGAUGAAGCUUGGUGCUUGCACCAAUUUGAAGAGCAGCGAACGGGUGAGUAACGCGUGGGGAAUCUGCCUUUGAGCGGGGGACAACAUUUGGAAACGAAUGCUAAUACCGCAUAACAACUUUAAACAUAAGUUUUAAGUUUGAAAGAUGCAAUUGCAUCACUCAAAGAUGAUCCCGCGUUGUAUUAGCUAGUUGGUGAGGUAAAGGCUCACCAAGGCGAUGAUACAUAGCCGACCUGAGAGGGUGAUCGGCCACAUUGGGACUGAGACACGGCCCAAACUCCUACGGGGGGCAGCAGUAGGGAAUCUUCGGCAAUGGACGAAAGUCUGACCGAGCAACGCCGCGUGAGUGAAGAAGGUUUUCGGAUCGUAAAACUCUGUUGGUAGAGAAGAACGUUGGUGAGAGUGGAAAGCUCAUCAAGUGACGGUAACUACCCAGAAAGGGACGGCUAACUACGUG
rnacentral:rRNA from 1 species